GUACACUCCUACGGGAGGCAGCAGUGGGGAAUAUUGCACAAUGGGCGCAAGCCUGAUGCAGCGACGCCGCGUGGGGGAUGAAGGCCUUCGGGUUGUAAACUCCUUUCGCUAGGGACGAAGCUUUUUUGUGACGGUACCUAGAUAAGAAGCACCGGCUAACUACGUGCCAGCAGCCGCGGUAAUACGUAGGGUGCGAGCGUUGUCCGGAAUUACUGGGCGUAAAGGGCUCGUAGGUGGUUUGUCGCGUCGUCUGUGAAAUUCUGGGGCUUAACUCCGGGCGUGCAGGCGAUACGGGCAUAACUUGAGUGCUGUAGGGGUAACUGGAAUUCCUGGUGUAGCGGUGAAAUGCGCAGAUAUCAGGAGGAACACCGAUGGCGAAGGCAGGUUACUGGGCAGUUACUGACGCUGAGGACCGAAAGCAUGGGUAGCGAACAGGAUUAGAAACCCUAGUAGUCCC
rnacentral:rRNA from 1 species